GAUCAUGGCUCAGAGUGAACGCUGGCGGCAGGCCUGAUACAUGCAAGUCGAACGGCAGCACAGCAGAGCUUGCUCUGUGGGUGGCGAGUGGCGGACGGGUGAGGAAUACAUGGGAAUCUGCCCAGUCGUGGGGGAUAACGUAGGGAAACUUACGCUAAUACCGCAUGCGCCCUUCGGGGGAAAGCCGGGGACCUUCGGGCCUGGCGCGAUUGGAUGAGCCCAUGUCGGAUUAGCUAGUUGGCGGGGUAAUGGCCCACCAAGGCGACGAUCCGUAGCUGGUCUGAGAGGAUGAUCAGCCACACUGGAACUGAGACACGGUCCAGACUCCUACGGGAGGCAGCAGUAGGGAAUAUUGGACAAUGGGCGCAAGCCUGAUCCAGCCAUGCCGCGUGAGUGAAGAAGGCCCUCGGGUUGUAAAGCUCUUUUGUCCGGAAAGAAAAGCGCCGGGUUAAUACCCUAGUGUCCUGACGGUACCGGAAGAAUAAGCACCGGCUAACUUCGUG
rnacentral:rRNA from 1 species